UACGAAGGGGGCUAGCGUUGCUCGGAAUCACUGGGCGUAAAGCGCACGUAGGCGGGUCGUUAAGUCGGGGGUGAAAUCCUGGAGCUCAACUCCAGAACUGCCUUCGAUACUGGCGAUCUUGGAGUCCGGGAGAGGUGGGUGGAACUGCGAGUGUAGAGGAUGAAAUUCGUAGAUAUUCGCAAGAACACCAGUGGCGAAGGCGGCUCACUGGCCCGGUACUGACGCUGAGGUGCGAAAGCGUGGGGAGCAAACAGG
rnacentral:rRNA from 1 species